ensembl:lncRNA
GAUAAACUGAAUAAUCUGGGGUCACCAUACUAGAAAAAAAAGAAGUAAAUAUUGCAAAAAAAAAAACCAAACCUUUGCAGAUCAACUGAUGAAGCUAGAAAGUAAAACAGAAAUGUUUUCAAAAUCCUGCAGUUUUGGAUAAAGAAAAUGGAUGAGAGAAGUAGGAGGAGGAAAAGGAGGUCCUGGAAGUUGGCACUAUAAAAAUAUGCCUCAGAACAUUGAAGAAUAUACAUAUUCCUCUCUCUGUGAAUCUUCCUUUGACAAAAUAGGCUGAAUACUGGAUGAGGGCUGAAGUAAUGACUGAAGUUAUAGCAGUUUCAAAGUUCGGUGGUA